UACAGAGGGUGCGAGCGUUGUCCGGAAUCACUGGGCGUAAAGGGCGCGUAGGUGGUGGCUUAAGCGUGCGGUGAAAGCUCGGAGCUCAACUCCGAGUCGGCCGUGCGAACUGGGCUCACUGGAGCAUAGUAGAGGCAGGUGGAAUUCCGGGUGUAGCGGUGGAAUGCGUAGAGAUCCGGAAGAACACCGGUGGCGAAGGCGGCCUGCAGGGCUAUGGCUGACACUGAGGCGCGACAGCGUGGGGAGCAAACAGG
rnacentral:rRNA from 1 species